UGCAAAUGAUACUUCUUCUAACAUUGCUGCAUUGUUGCAAACAGUGCAGCAAUGUUAGAAGAAGUAUCAUUUGGAA
rfam:Strigamia maritima strain Brora ctg7180001225154, whole genome shotgun sequence.